CCUACGGGAGGCAGCAGUAGGGAAUCUUCCACAAUGGGCGAAAGCCUGAUGGAGCUACGCCGCGUGGGUGAAGAAGGUCUUCGGAUCGUAAAACCCUGUUGUUCGAGACGAAAGUGCGUGAGAUUAACUGUUCACGUUUCGACGGUAUCUUACCAGAAAGCCACGGCUAACUACGUGCCAGCAGCCGCGGUAAUACGUAGGUGGCAAGCGUUAUUCGGAUUUAUUGGGCGUAAAGGGAUCGCAGGCGGUUUUUUAAGUCUGAUGUGAAAGCCUUCGGCUUAACCGGAGUAGUGCAUUGGAGACUGGGAGACUAGAGUGCAGAAGAGGGGAGUGGAACUCCAAGUGUAGCAGUGAAAUGCGUAGAUAUAUGGAAGAAAACCAGUGGCGAAAGCGGCUCUCUGGGCUGUAACUGACGCUGAGGUUCGAAAGCGUGGGUAGCAAACAGGAUUAGAUACCUGGGUAGUC
rnacentral:rRNA from 1 species